rnacentral:lncRNA from 11 species
UAUCAACAAUACCAUUCCCAGCUGUGGGAAUGCCUCUCUGCUCCUCAUCUCUCACAGCAGGGACACUCUGAACCUGAAUCCCAUAAUUCCCAUCAGAGUCAUCUUGAACCUGAAUACCAUCAUCUUGAACAUCUGGAACCUGAAUCCCACAAUCCCCAUCAGAGUCACUCUGAGACUCUAGCUGAGUCACAACAAAGAAGGCAAACAAGAAUGAAAGAAACAGGCAGACUAGCAAGAAGGGAGGGAGGGAGGCAAGACAGAAAGAAAGAAAAGAAAAGAAAAGAAAAGAAAAGAAAAGAAAAGAAAAGAAAAGAAAAGAAAAGAAAAGAAAAAAGACAGGAAGGCCAAAGAAGAGGUAAACAAAUAAGAAUGAAAGACUCAAACAAGCAAGCACGACGGGCUAAUUAAAAAGUCAAGAACGAAAGAAACAAGCAAGCUAGCAAGAAGGAAGGCAGGAAGGCUAGAAAGAAAGAAGCCAGGCAAGCUAACAAUAGGCAGGAAGGCAGGCAGGCAGGAAGGAAGAAGAAAGGCCAAUGAAGAAGUAAACAAGCAAGAAUGAAAGAAGCAGGCAAGCAAGCAAGCAAGCCAGAAGGCUAGCUACAAAUAAAUAAGCAAGCAAGCAGAAAGGCAGACCAAGGAAGAAGCAAGCAGCAAUGAAAGAAGCAGGCAAGCAAGAGAGAAGUUAGGAAGGAAGUAAAGCUAAUGAAGAAGUCGCCCACCUUCCACAUCUGGAGCAGCAUCGAGGAGGAAGACAAGAAGGAGCAAGAGGAGGAAGAGAAGAAGAAGCGCGGUGGGCGUCGGCCGCUUCCUUCCCGGUAAGACACUCAAGACAGGAAAGCAAGAGUAACAAGGAUGUGUAUUGUGUGUCUCUUUGGCGAGUGGGUUUUCUUAUCUAUACUGAAGGAUCGGGGCCAGGGAGGGAUGGGUGUAACGUCGUUGCUGGGCCUGUAACGCCGUUCCUCCACCCGUUCCUUCGUCUCCUUCGCCGCGCUCCCCGUUGGCGUCAGGAUCCAAACAGCAGGGGGAAAUGGGUCCAAAAUGAAUGUGAAUUGUGUUCUGUUUUAGAAAAUUGGGGGGCUGAUAGACAAGGGAGGAAGGGAACCCCCCUUUUGCAACCCAAGGAUUGUGGGGAAAAGGUCUGGAUUCUGUAGGGAGAGGUCUCCACCCCAAAAGUGGUAUGAGAUGGGGGUUCUUUCUGUGCGUAAAAAGGUUUGUGCGUAAAAGGUUUGUGCGUAAAAGGCCGGUCUUGGGGUGUCGCAGGUGGGGCUUUUCUGGGUGCAAACUCCAUCUUUUUCUCCCAUCAAACGAAGCUGGGAAAAGACGUGAGAGUCACACCUUCCUUUUCCACGACCCACGGCUCCCACGCUUCCC